UAGUCAUAUGCUUGUCUCAAAGAUUAAGCCAUGCAUGUCUAAGUACAGCUCUCGUAUAGUGAAACCGCGAAUGGCUCAUUAAAUCAGUUACUAUUUCUUAGAUCUUACUUUUGUUACUUGGAUAACUGUGGUAAUUCUAGAGCUAAUACAUGCACUUCAACCCUGACUUCUGGAAAGGGUGCUCUUAUUAGACUCAAAACCAAUGUCCGGUCUCGGCUGGUCUUGUUUUGGUGACUCUGGAUAAAGUGGCGGAUCGCAGCGCUCUACGCGGGCGACGUAUCUUUCAAAUGUCUGCCCUAUCAACUGUCGACGGUAGUGUAUUGGACUACCGUGGUUGCAACGGGUAACGGGGAAUUAGGGUUCGAUUCCGGAGAGGGAGCCUGAGAAACGGCUACCACAUCCAAGGAAGGCAGCAGGCGCGCAAAUUACCCACUCCUAGCACAGGGAGGUAGUGACAAGAAAUAACAAUACGGGACUCUUUCG
rnacentral:rRNA from 1 species